CAUUUACAUGGUGGCCACUUUGUGAUUUCACAACACUCAUCAAAUUUUACUUUUCGGAAUUGGCAAAGAGAGAGGUACAUGAUAAUGGGUGUAAAAUUAUCUGGUGAGGCUAAUCAAGACAUGUUGGAAUGGUUCGGAAAGCAUUUCAAGUUGUGUUGUCAUACGGGCAUCUUGAACUGCAAGUGUUGGAGAUUUUCUAUCUCAAGAUAUAUGAAGUACUGACAUGUUGCAUCGAUGUGGUUCUACAUUUGCUAAAACAAUUCUCAUUUUCUGAGAACAAAUCUGAAAUCAAUGAUUGUUAGAUUUUACUUGAAGCAUUUGUCUCACAAGAAUGAGUUGGGUUGUGCUCAUGGCGUAUGACCAGAUGAAGAGUGAAGUUAGUUUGUGGAUGGUAUAAAUAUUGCAAACUUGAACUUUCCGAACUAUGGAUAAGAUAGGGUGUAAUAGGCAAAUUGCAAUUAUCUUGGACUUCUUUUUACGUAACCUCCUCUAGGCGCGUUAGAAGGUUAAUUUUGACGAAAAAAUCCUCCAUCUCCAACGGUC